ACAAAAAAGCGGAGGAGAGUUUCGCUUGCUGUGUGAUACCUCGCCGCUUCGACACCCGUUGCAUUGGAAACAACGGAAUUCGAAGUCACAUACUCGCAGGUGGAUAUAUGAUGUGACGGACGCACACAGACAUAUUCGAGAUUUGACACGGGGACGCUGCACGGACGCCGGCAUUGACUGUGAUGCAUUUAUUGGGAAAUGGACGAAAAUGAACAUGCACUGGAAGUAGCAUGCUGUUGUUAUCACCAUGCACGAGCCAAGCAUGUAGCACUGACUGAAACAGGUGACCUAGGCUAUAGCGCAGCUCCACUGGUUCCAACUUUGAUGGACACAGCCAUGAGUUUCUUGACAGUAUUGGUAAGGAAAUAGUGUGGAAUCCGAUCAGAAUUGGCUGAUGGUAAGGAAAUAGUGUAUAGGUAUAGGUAGGUGUAUAGAUAUCUCGUGCCACAGAAGUACAUACGAACAGUCCAACAGAAAUACAGCAGCAGUCUAAUCCCAGUCUAUAACUGUGCAGAGGCUCAGAGAGAAAGCAGCAAACCAGGUCCUUCCCACAUCUCUCCGCAAGCUCGGGAUUCAUCGUAAACCCAGGUAGCCAGACAGCCAUGUACGAACCCAUAUUUGCCAACAUUGUAGGUUGUCUACUAGGUAUUUCCAGUGCUUUCGUGACCACUUUGUUCAGUGUGCAGGUUCAGUUUGCCUUCUUGUGAUACUUGUGGGACAACAUUUGAAGCUAUCUAGAGAUACAUACAUUAUUUGAAUUUUUGUAUUUAGAUAAGCAGACGAGUACAGGAUGACAGCCAGCCAACAGAAUGUAUAGGUGAGGUACUUGAGGAGAUGGAGAUGGAGAGGACAGAUCAAAGUUUGCAGAGUUAUCUGAAAAAAAAAUGGGCUAUUUAUGACGUAAUCCAGGCCACCACAUGUGCUCCAAUGUGGUUGUCGAUUGCGUUGUUACCAGCAUAGAGGAGUUGUUUCAGGAAAUGAAUGUGCAGAUUUUUGGUGCAGAAUUGAUCCCAUUUGGUAAAAUGUGGUCAGAUUCGGAAGUUGCAUUAUGUGGAACCCGAUUUCUUGUAACGUGCCUUAAGUGUAAAAUGCGUUGGAGUUCUUUAUCUCAUUAGACUUUUAUGUAGAUGAUUUUUUCCACGCGUAAUGUGAGGAUGAGUACGAAUUACCUAUUUUGCUAUAGACAAAAGUAACUUCUCAACUUUGCCGCAUUAUGGCCAUAGUUGUCGAUGCGCCAUAAAAAAUCCUAAUUAUCAUCAUCAUAACUUCUCAACUCAAUCCCUUUAUAUGUACAUUCAGUGCAAGGUGUUCUGCAGUUUAGUGAUACUCAUAUUUCACAUUCGCCUUUUUUUAUUCAUGAAUCUUCGAGGAUAUUUUGCUCCACUGAAGGGGAGACUAGUCAACUCGAUUGUGACUUUCAGCGCAAAGUGUAUUGCAUGUUGAACUUUUAAUAUUACUGCUAUUUAAUAUGUUACAAUUCAUCCUUUGAAGAGUCUUUCAAUGUGUCAUAUGAAGGUAAUAAAUAAUUUCACACUCUAUUUUCCGAGUAUGGUGCGUACACUCUAAGAAGGAAAGGUAGAAUAUUCUACCCAGCGUUGCAGCCGGACGGUACUUUUACCAUUUCGUGCCAAUUCACACGCGACUUCACCCUCGUGGGCAUAAGCGACGGAGUCCCUUUCCCUUGCUCCUCUCUCUCACGUUUGCUCUAAGAGAAAAUGGUAGAAUUUCCUACCCAAACUGGUAGAAGCUUCUACUCUGUAGUUUGUUUCUACUCUGCAGUUAUACACAAAAGGUAAAGCUGGUUGCAAUGUAGCUCUACCGAAAUGGGUAUAAGAUAGUCUUUUUUUUUUCUUAGAGUAUAGAAUAUUAUGGUAUAUGGACACUUGAUAAUAAAGGAACUCCGUGUUUGCAAAAAAAGAAAAGCUUCAUAUUUUCGCUUAGCAUUUCCUGCGUUUUAUAGGGCAAGAUGCCCUUGAGAA